AUUUGAUAACUCGCUCAGUAAAUAAGCGGCCGUGCUCUAUAAUACAACUAGCAGCAAAACGUUAUCGGAAAUAUUCGUGAAUUAUGUGAAUUACUUUGAAAUUUGAUGUUCUCUGUGGAUCUAUUUGUUUAUUUGUGCGUUUUUUUCGAUUCCAGUUACGUUUUUGAAUAAUGGACAACCGAGAUCAUGUUGAUGAUGAAGCAUCUAGAGACCCUGGUGCACAUAAAUCUCUGGCUUUUGACGAGAAGGACUUUGAAGGACAUCGCGCACACAGUGUUUUUGUAGGAGUUCACAUUCCAAUGGAAAGAAGACAUUCACAUAGAAGACAUAAACAUCACCACAAAAGUGAAAAUAGCAAAGAUGGUUCAGAAGAGGACAGACCAGUCACGCCACCAUCACAAAGAGUUCAGUUCAUUCUGGGAGAAGAUAUAGAUGAUGGGAAACAUGAAAGUCAUCCAUUGUUCUCCGAAAUGGAGGAACUGGUCACCGAUGGCGAAGAAAUGGAAUGGAAAGAAACAGCUAGAUGGAUAAAAUUCGAAGAAGAUGUAGAAGAAGGUGGAAAUAGAUGGUCCAAGCCCCACGUUGGUACACUAUCUCUUCAUUCCCUCUUCGAACUUCGAAGUUUGAUUCUGAAUGGAACAGUCAUUUUAGAUAUGGAUGCGAAUUCUCUAGAACAGAUUGCAGAUUUAGUGCUGGAUCAUAUGGUCAACAAUAAUUCAUUAGCAUCUGAUAAGAAAAUGCAGGUUAAGGAUGCAUUACUCAAGAGGCACAGGCAUCAGCAUCAAAGAAAAGACCAUGUAUUGCCAAUCAUGAGAUCUUUCACCGAGAUUGGAAGAAAUCAUUCGUCAUGUCGAAAGAAGAGAAAAACAAAAACCAGGAAGAAAAAAGUUCAAAUUGUGGAGCUUGGGAGUAAAGAUUUAAAGAGGAAUGGGUCUUAUAUAGCAGUACCAGUGGAUGAUCACCUAAAUGGAGAAUCUAUGGAGAGAUCCCCGGAUUUUGGAAAAUUCUUGAUAGUUCCAGGUCAUGGUUCUGAAAAAACUGUCACGAUGCAGAAGAGCGCCAGCAGUACAUCAAUGCACCGAAAUCUGAGCCACAAUGAGUUCGGAAUGAACGGAGACAUCCCACAGCACAAUCUGCAUUUCAUGAAGAAAAUUCCGAACGGAGCUGAGGCGAGCAACAUACUUGUUGGCGAGGUGAAUUUCUUGACCAAAACAGCGGCAGCUUUCGUGAGACUGAAUACGGCCAUUGUACUGGGGGAUCUCACGGAAGUGCCUGUUCCAACAAGAUUUCUAUUUUUAUUACUUGGGCCACCGAACAAUACUGGUGGUUAUCAUGAGAUAGGGCGUGCUAUGGCCACUUUGAUGUCGGAUGAGAUAUUCCAUGAAGUAGCUUACAAGGCAAGGAAUAGGAGUCAUUUGUUGGCAGGGGUUGACGAGUUUUUGGAUGCUGUAACUGUUCUUCCUCCAGGUGAAUGGGACCCAUCCAUCAGGAUAGAACCUCCGGCAGCCAUCCCUUCUCAAGAUACCAGAAAAAGACCUCCUGAAAAGGCAGCAGAAGAACCUGAUGAAGAAGAAGAGGAACAGAAGCUGCGGGAAGAAUCGGGAUUGGCCAGAACGGGAGUUUUAUUUGGAGGACUCAUAAACGACAUCAAGCGGAAGGCACCUUGGUAUAUCUCAGAUUUCAAGGAUGCACUGGCGUCUCAAUGUAUAGCAUCCUGGAUUUUCCUCUAUUUCGCCUGCUUAUCUCCCAUAAUCACGUUUGGAGGUCUUCUUUCCCAAGCGACUGGGAAGAAUAUGGCUGCAAUGGAAUCUUUGGUGUCGGGCUUCAUAUGUGGUAUGGGUUAUGGUUUGUUUUCCGGUCAACCGCUGACGAUAUUAGGAUCGACAGGUCCAGUUUUAGUGUUUGAAACUAUAGUGUACGAUUUUUGCGGUACUAUAGGAUGGGAUUAUAUGGCGUUCAGGUUCUGGAUAGGCACCUGGAUCGCUGUAAUUCUCUUGGUGUUAGUAGCUAUAGACGCGAGUGCUUUCGUGUGUUACAUAACGAGAUUCACCGAAGAAAGUUUUGCUACGCUGAUCGCUGUUAUAUUCAUUUUCAAGGCAAUAGAGAACGUUUUGGUUAUUGGGAAACAAUUUCCCAUCAACACCAAUGCAAACACCAAUCUCAGUUACGAAUGUGCUUGCUUCUUAAAUGACUCAGUCGAGCUCAAACAUCCAGAAAUAGUCAAUUGGACAGCAGUGAAUAAGACAGCAUGCAUUGAACUAAAUGGUUCUCUUUCUCCGGGAUGUUUUACACCAACCUACGUUCCAGAUGUAUUCCUUAUGUCAAUAAUACUGUUUUUCGGAACAUUCCUAAUUUCUGUGCAACUGAAGGACUUCAAAAACGCUCUUUUCUUCUCUUCAAAAGUUCGUCAGUUCAUCAGUGAUUUCGCUGUGAUUAUUGCAAUAAUGUCGAUGACUUUGUUAGACGCCUACGUGGGUAUUUUGACCCCGAAAUUGGAGGUCCCCAAGGAGUUCAAGCCAACGUCUCCUGACAGGGGAUGGUUUAUACCGCCAUUCCAGCACAAUCCCUAUUAUUCAGUAUUUGUUGCUUUUCCACCAGCCUUGCUGGGCACAAUUUUGAUUUUUAUGGAUCAGCAAAUUACAAGUGUGAUAGUUAAUAGAAAGGAACAUAAAUUGAAGAAAGGCUGUGGAUAUCAUUUGGAUCUUUUUGUCCUGUCCAUCCUUAUCGAGAUUUGCUCCAUGAUGGGUCUUCCUUGGUUUGUUGCCGCAACAGUCUUGUCAAUCAACCAUGUCAACUCGUUGAAGCUAGAGUCUGAGUGUGCUGCUCCAGGAGAGAAGCCUCAAUUUUUGGGGGUCAGAGAGCAGAGAGUAACACAUAUUUUGAUAUUUUUGACUAUUGGAUUAUCAGUAUUUCUUACGCCAAUGCUGGGUUAUAUUCCAAUGCCAGUACUUUUUGGAGUAUUUUUAUAUAUGGGAGUCGCAUCGUUGAAAGGAUUGCAGUUCUUCGACAGAAUACUCAUAAUGUUUAUGCCAAAUAAGUAUCAACCGGACUACAUGUUCUUGAGACAGGUCCCUAUCAAAAGAGUUCAUCUCUUCACCACCAUCCAGAUAAUUUGUUUGGUGUGCCUAUGGUCGAUCAAAUCAUUCAGUUCUACUUCCAUCCUUUUCCCCUUGAUGCUAGUGGUGAUAAUCGGUAUACGAAAAUCGCUUGAUCUCAUAUUCAGCCGAAGAGAUUUGAAGAUACUGGAUGAUGUGAUGCCGGAAAUGACAAAGAGGCACGAGAUGUUGCAGGACGAAGAGAAAAACGAGAAAACACCGUUGGAUUUCGAGCCAGGUGGCAAUUUGAAAAUUGCCCUCGCCAAUGGAAAUGUUAUGAAUAUUCCACUAUCAGCCGUGAAUAUAUCUGAAGAGGUAAACAAAACAGCAAUAUGGAAACAAGUUAACGACAAUAUAACACAGAACAAAGAAAGGAAGAAAAGUUCAAAAAAUGCAAGCCGAUUCAAAAAGAAGAAGUCUGCAAAAAAAGAAGAGAAACGCGAUGAGAAUAAAAAACUGGAGAAACGUCUCUCUACCAUGGAAGAAGAGGAAGAGGAUGAAGGAAUCACAAUUAAGGUGACCGAUACUAGCAUACACAUUUAACAAGAUUCUACACUAACACUUUCCAACAAAUCACAAUAGUACAAAAAUGUUGCACUUAUAGUAGAACAAAUCUGUCGGAAAAACAGGAAAAUGUCUGAACUACUUGGAGAUAAGGAAUAUUGGAAGGAGAAACGUAAGAAUUCUCUACAUUCAAAUGAAACUCAUGUUUGAGGAAAUGUUUGUUGGGCUGUGUUUCGAGAUUGACCGUCAUUAUUGUAACUUUUAUCAAAUAAAAUUAAUUAUUAGAACUGC